CCAUGGUGGCGCCAUGGCGGGCGACGAGGGGAGGUCGGUCCCUGGUGAGGCAGCGUUGCGGCCGUGUCUGGCUGUCAUCUCCCGCCACCCUCGGCCUCCCUCAGCGCAGGGAGACUUGGGGUUCAUUCCUAUCGUCUUGAAGGGAAGCUGACAAAAGCUUUAAGACCACAAGAGGCCACGUUCUUUUUUACAUUUAAUACACUUGACUGCCUUCCAUGCCAGUCACAACAUCUGAACGGCACAACUUCACACCAGCAUGCAAAUCUAGUACAUUGGAGAUGUUCCAGCCUCUUCUGUUGAAAACUGAAAUAAUUCCACAGUGCACACAGCGUCUUUGUUGCUUCUUCACACUGCCCUCUGCUGCACGAGAGCCAGUUAUUCACAAAGGUGUUGAUGAGUUACACAAGACAAUUGUCUGCCUCACGCAGUACAAGGCCACCAAGGUCAUUUGAUAUUAUCAAAGAGCUGGUAACUUAGGAUGGAUUUGAAAUAGCUCCACAUUGCAUGGCAAAGUCCUGGAGUCAUGCUUUGCCUUGGAAAGACCUUGUUCUUCUAAGGACACAGUGACAUGAAGAAUUACUUUGCAAAGCUGAUGGUGCACAGGGGACCAGACUCCUAGAUGAAAACCAAGCCUUGCUGAAAUCUGCGAGCUAUUCUCAAGCACAGAUUGCACCCUGAAUGGAUGUGGGCAGGAGCUGGAUGAAUAAGGAGGUAUUAUUUCUUACUGCAUCUACCAUUGAAACAGAAUAGAACUGGGCAACUGUUCAAUAGCAAAGUACAAUGUAAUUAAUCUGUUUUUCUCAUGACCUCUUUUUUUUUUUUUUUCCCCAGAACUAAGUUAGGUCUUUACUCAGACCAACAGUUCACCUAAACCCAUCUCCAAUACUUGCUAUAAAAGAAGAAUGGGACGAACAUAGCUGUUGUGUCACUUCAGUUUCCUCUUUAUUAAUGUUUAAGUGACUAACCCUGAAUUCCUUAACUGUAGGAUAUGAUAGUUCAAAAAAGUCAUGAAGCCUUUCCAGAAAUAUGUACACAGAAACAGAAUGCAGUAAGUAAAGUCCCUGCAGAAAAAAAUGUAAAGAAAAUAGAAAAAAACCCCACCCUUGUCAUACAGAGAAAAAAUGCAAGACAAAAGCCAAGUAAGAAAAACCAUUUGAAAAAUCCCACCACCACAAAAAACCCACCCUUGUGUUAGACUUCUGAAGCAGGUUCCAAAGAGCAAACUCCACAGUGUGUAGGACAAG